GACGAACGCUGGCGGCGUGCUUAACACAUGCAAGUCGAACGGAAAGGCCCUGCUUUUGUGUGGCGCUCGAUUGGCGAACGGGUGAGUAACACGUGAGUAACCUGCCCCUGUCUUUGGGAUAACUCCUGGAAACUGGGGCUCUUACCGGAUAGGAGCUCUUGCUGCACGGUGGGGGUUGGAGAGUUUCGGCGGUUGGGGAUGGACUCGCGGCUUAUCGGCUUGUUGGUCAGGUAGUGGCUUACCAAGGCUAUGACGGGUAGCCGGCCUGGGAGGGUUACCGGCGACAUUAGGACUGAGAUACGGCGCAGAAUCGUACGGGAGGCAGCAGUGGGAAGUAUUGCAGAAUGGGCGGAAGCGAGAUGCGACAACGCCGCGUGCGGGAUGACGGCCUUCGGGUUAUAAACCGAUGUCGCAUGUGACGAAGCGUGAGUGACGGUAAUGGGUAAAGAAGCACCGGCUAACUACGUG
rnacentral:rRNA from 1 species